rnacentral:rRNA from 1 species
UAAACGAUGUUUACUAGUUGUUGGGUCUUAAUUGACUUAGUAACGCAGCUAACGCGUGAAGUAGACCGCCUGGGGAGUACGGUCGCAAGAUUAAAACUCAAAGGAAUUGACGGGGACCCGCACAAGCGGUGGAUGAUGUGGAUUAAUUCGAUGCAACGCGAAAAACCUUACCUACCCUUGACAUGUACAGGAGCCUGAAGAGAUUUAGGUGUGCUCGCAAGAGAACUGUAACACAGGUGCUGCAUGGCUGUCGUCAGCUCGUGUCGUGAGAUGUUGGGUUAAGUCCCGCAACGAGCGCAACCCUUGUCAUUAGUUGCUACAUUCAGUUGAGCACUCUAAUGAGACUGCCGGUGACAAACCGGAGGAAGGUGGGGAUGACGUCAAGUCCUCAUGGCCCUUAUGGGUAGGGCUUCACACGUCAUACAAUGGUACAUACAGAGGGCCGCCAACCCGCGAGGGGGAGCUAAUCCCAGAAAGUGUAUCGUAGUCCGGAUUGUAGUCUGCAACUCGACUACAUGAAGUUGGAAUCGCUAGUAAUCGCGGAUCAGCAUGUCGCGGUGAAUACGUUCCCGGGUCUUGUACACACCGCCCGUCACACCAUGGGAGCGGGUUUCGCCAGAAGUAGGUAGCUUAACCGUAAGGAGGGCGCUUACCACGGCGGGAUUCGUGACUGGGGUGAAGUCGUAACAAGGUAGCCGUA